rnacentral:rRNA from 1 species
UUUACAGUGAAAUCGAGUAGGUCGGGACACGUGUUAUCUUGACUGAAUAUGGGGGGACCAUCCUCCAAGGCUAAAUACUCCUAACUGACCGAUAGUGAACCAGUACCGUGAGGGAAAGGCGAAAAGAACCCCUGUGAGGGGAGUGAAAUAGAACCUGAAACCGUAUACGUACAAGCAGUAGGAGCACCUUCGUGGUGUGACUGCGUACCUUUUGUAUAAUGGGUCAGCGACUUAUAUUUAGUAGCAAGGUUAAGCGAAUAGCGGAGCCGUAGCGAAAGCGAGUGUUAACUGCGCGUUGAGUUGCUAGGUAUAGACCCGAAACCCGGUGAUCUAGCCAUGGGCAGGUUGAAGGUUGAGUAACAUCAACUGGAGGACCGAACCGACUAACGUUGAAAAGUUAGCGGAUGACUUGUGGCUGGGGGUGAAAGGCCAAUCAAACCGGGAGAUAGCUGGUUCUCCCCGAAAUCUAUUUAGGUAGAGCCUCGGACGAAUUCCAUUGGGGGUAGAGCACUGUUAAGGCUAGGGGGUCAUCCCGACUUACCAACCCUUUGCAAACUCCGAAUACCAAUGAGAACUAUCCGGGAGACACACGGCGGGUGCUAACGUCCGUCGUGGAGAGGGAAACAACCCAGACCGCCAGCUAAGGUCCCAAAAUAUUGCUAAGUGGGAAACGAUGUGGGAAGGCAUAGACAGCUAGGAGGUUGGCUUAGAAGCAGCCACCCUUUAAAGAAAGCGUAAUAGCUCACUAGUCGAGUCGGCCUGCGCGGAAGAUGUAACGGGGCUAAGCAAUAUACCGAAGCUGCGGCAG